rnacentral:rRNA from 1 species
UUGGAGGGCAAGUCUGGUGCCAGCAGCCGCGGUAAUUCCAGCUCCAAUAGCGUAUAUUAAAGUUGUUGCAGUUAAAAAGCUCGUAGUUGAAUUUCGGGAUCAAAUAAUCGGUCGUGCCUCCGGUACGUACUGGUUUUAUUGGUUCCUCCCUUCUGACGAACCAUGAUGUCAUUAAUUUGAUGUGGUGGAGAAUCAGGACUGUUACCUUGAAAAAAUUAGAGUGUUUAAAGCAGGCUAACGCUUGAAUACAUUAGCAUGGAAUAAUGAAAUAGGACGUUCGACCCUAUUUUGUUGGUUUCUAGGAUCGACGUAAUGAUUAAUAGGGAUAGUUGGGGGCAUUAGUAUUCAAUUGUCAGAGGUGAAAUUCUUGGAUUUAUUGAAGACUAACUACUGCGAAAGCAUUUGCCAAGGAUGUUUUCAUUAAUCAAGAACGAAAGUUAGGGAAUCGAAGACGAUCAGAUACCGUCGUAGUCUUAACCAUAAACUAUGCCGACUAGGGAUCGGAUGAUGUUAAUUUUUUAAUGACUCAUUCGGCGCCUUACGGGAAAC